rnacentral:rRNA from 1 species
CUGUGGCUAAGCGGAGAAUAAGGCGCAACCCUAUCAGCUUGUUGGUAGUGUAAAGGACUACCAAGGCUAUGACGGGUAACGGGAAAUCAGGGUUUGAUUCCGGAGAGGGAGCCUGAGAGAUGGCUCCCACGUCCAAGGACGGCAGCAGGCGCGAAACUUGUCCACUCCUUACUGGGGAGACAGUCAUGAGACGUGAGUAUAAGACCUGAGUGUAAAGACCUUAGGGUGAAGCAAUUGGAGGGCAAGCUUUGGUGCCAGCAGCCGCGGUAACUCCAACUCCAAGAGUGUCUAUGGUGGAUGCUGCAGUUAAAGGGUCCGUAGUCGUGAAUGCAAUUAAAUGUCGUUGUUCAAUAGCGAUGAGUUUGCUAAUGUUUGCGGAACGGAUAGGGAAGUGUAGA